UCAGGAUGAACGCUAGCUACAGGCUUAACACAUGCAAGUCGAGGGGCAGCAUGGGAGUUGCUUGCAACUUCCGAUGGCGACCGGCGCACGGGUGAGUAACGCGUAUCCAACCUUCCCCCUAGUAGGGCACAGCCCGGCGAAAGUCGGAUUAAUACCCUAUGUUGUUUGAAGCGGACAUCUAAUUCAAACCAAAGAUUCAUCGCUAGUGGAUGGGGAUGCGUCUGAUUAGCUUGAUGGCGGGGUAACGGCCCACCAUGGCGACGAUCAGUAGGGGUUCUGAGAGGAAGGUCCCCCACAUUGGAACUGAGACACGGUCCAAACUCCUACGGGAGGCAGCAGUGAGGAAUAUUGGUCAAUGGAGGCAACUCUGAACCAGCCAAGUAGCGUGCAAGGAUGACGGCCCUAUGGGUUGUAAACUGCUUUUACGAGGGGAUAACCGAUGCCACGUGUGGCAUUUUGCAUGUACCUCGUGAAUAAGGACCGGCUAAUUCCGUGCCAGCCGCCGC
rnacentral:rRNA from 1 species